rnacentral:rRNA from 1 species
AUUGCCCUAGUAACGGCGAGUGAAGCGGCAACAGCUCAAAUUUGAAAUCUGGCCCUUGUGGUCCGAGUUGUAAUUUGUAGAGGAUGCUUUUGGUGAGGUACCUUCCGAGUUCCCUGGAACGGGACGCCAUAGAGGGUGAGAGCCCCGUCUGGUUGGAUACCGAUCCUCUGUAAAGCUCCUUCGACGAGUCGAGUAGUUUGGGAAUGCUGCUCUAAAUGGGAGGUAUAUGUCUUCUAAAGCUAAAUAUUGGCCAGAGACCGAUAGCGCACAAGUAGAGUGAUCGAAAGAUGAAAAGCACUUUGAAAAGAGGGUUAAAUAGUACGUGAAAUUGUUGAAAGGGAAGCGCUUGUGACCAGACUUGGGCUUGGUUAAUCAUCCAGGGUUCUCCCUGGUGCACUUGGCCAGCCCAGGCCAGCAUCAGUUUGUCGCGGGGGAUAAAGGCGUUGGGAAUGUGGCUCCCCCGGGAGUGUUAUAGCCCUUCGUGUAAUACCCUGCUUUAGACUGAGGUUCGCGCAUCUGCAAGGAUGCUGGCGUAAUGGUCAUCAGCGACCCGUCUUGAAACACGGACCAAGGAGUCGUCUUCGUAUGCGAGUGUUCGGGUGUCAAACCCCUACGCGUAAUGAAAGUGAACGCAGGUGAGAGCUUCGGCGCAUCAUCGACCGAUCCUGAUGUUCUCGGAUGGAUUUGAGUAAGAGCAUACGGGGCCGGACCCGAAAGAAGGUGAACUAUGCCUGUGUAGGGUGAAGCCAGAGGAAACUCUGGUGGAGGCUCGCAGCGGUUCUGACGUGCAAAUCGAUCGUCAAACAUGGGCA